AAGAUGUUACAAUGAUGGAUGCUCUUGCCAAGAGGCCAUCAGUUAAGGCAAUCUUUGUUGGGCACAACCACGGGCUGGACUCGUGCUGCCCGUAUGAGAAAAUGUGGCUUUGUUUUGCACGGCACACCGGUUAUGGGGGCUACGGUAACUGG